rnacentral:lncRNA from 1 species
AUCGAUCACCUAGUUGCAAAAAUCUAGCCUAUCAUGAUAAAAAUAACGAAAACUAACAAAAUAAAACUAAAAUACAUCACCGGGUUAUCAAAUGUUGAAGAAUUCUCGUAAAUCUCGCAUCAAUUGCUUGUUCUUGCCUUCAAUUCCACUCCAAGAAUGAAUGAUUUUGCCUCCCAAGUCGUUCUUGCGGCUUCUGGACGUCUUGUUGCUAUUUAAACCCGUCCAAAUUAGGUUACCAAAGGAGUUGCAAUCGUAUAAGGAAAGUGCAAAAUUCGGGAAAAUUUAUACCUAUGUGAUCGCAUAGGCAUAACCUAUGCGACCGCAUAGGUUUAAGGAAAACGUCCUUUUUAAUCCCUGGAGGUUCACUCGCGGUCGCAUAGGUUUUAUACUAUGCGACCGCAUAGUGGAGUUACUUUCUUGUUUGAGUCAUUUUGGUCCUCAAGUUUCAUUCCUUCACUCCUUGACCUUCUCUCUUGUUCCUAGUUGCUCCAAUGGUCCCUUAUAACUUCCAAUUGGUGCUUGGCUUGAUCAAUUGCUUGAUGUGUUCAUCGGAUCAACUUUCAGAUAAUUGUAAUUUGGUCCCUAAAUUUUCUCUUUGCUUCAAUUUGGUCCUUUUUCGGCUCUUUUCUCCUGAAUUCCACUAUUUCCAUAGAAUUUCCUACAUUGCAUGAAUUUGA